GACGAACGCUGGCGGCGUGCUUAACACAUGCAAGUCGAGCGGUAAGGCUCCUUCGGGAGUACACGAGCGGCGAACGGGUGAGUAACACGUGAGUAAUCUGCCCCUCACUUCGGGAUAAGCCUCGGAAACGAGGUCUAAUACCGGAUACGACCACUUCUUGCAUGAGAUGGUGGGGGAAAGUUUUUCGGUGGGGGAUGUGCUCGCGGCCUAUCAGCUUGUUGGUGGGGUAAUGGCCUACCAAGGCUUCGACGGGUAGCCGGCCUGAGAGGGUGACCGGCCACACUGGGACUGAGACACGGCCCAGACUCCUACGGGAGGCAGCAGUGGGGAAUAUUGGACAAUGGGCGGAAGCCUGAUCCAGCAACGCCGCGUGAGGGAUGACGGCCUUCGGGUUGUAAACCUAUUUCAGUACCGACGAAGCGAAAGUGACGGUAGGUACAGAAGAAGCACCGGCCAACUACGUGCCAGCCGCCGCAGUAAAAC
rnacentral:rRNA from 1 species